UAUAAGUCCUUCCCCCAAGCUAGGGAGCUGCCAAGGAGGAAAGAACCUGCUGAGAGUCCCAGACAACCUAAAACAGUGGAACAGCAAUAGACUAGCCUGCCUUCCUCCCUUCUGACUCAUUCCCAGAAGGUGGACUAAAAGAAAACUUCAGGAUUGCCCCCUGUGGAGGACAUCUGGGAGGACACGGCCAAGAGGAUCUCUCCCACGACGGAGCUGCUGGGGAUGAGCUGUCAUCUGCAUGGUUGGAGGGGUAGGAUGGAUACCCACGAGAAUGAGAUCACACCCAACUCCCAGCUGCUCUAGCGCAUCUCUGCCUUUCCAUUCCCAAAGCUGCCAUCUUAGGUCCUCUCUUCCCUGGACAGUGGAGAAAGCCCCAUAGAUCCUCAGAGGCCUUCUAGGCCAACCUCCUCCUUUUGGAAAGGACACAAGAAUCCUGAGGGCUUGAAUCCAGAAGUAGUAUGCUUGAAGCAGCUAAGUGGAUGGAAAGCCACCCAGGGCUCAAAUCUAGCCCUAGACACUUUGGGAUUCUAAGUCAGAAGGUCAUUUAAAAAACAAAAGAUCUCUCCAUUAGAAUGGACUCCUUUAUGAAAAGGACUGCCUCUUUGCUGUCUUUAUAUUGGUCCCCAUUAUAAUACCUGGAGCAUUGUAGGUACUUAAUAAAUGUUGAUUGCUUGCUUGAUGUA